AGAUUCUGGUAGAUCUGUGGUGUAUAUAUGUCUAACACGGCUCCACAAGGCCUCCCAACGGUAUCGCAUGGUUCUUUGUGGAUACAUCAAGGAUCCGUGGGUAGCUCGAGGGUAACAGGUGGUUAGCUCAGAGGUACCAAUCUAAAGCCGGUGUGUACGUGUCUACUUACGGCUGCAUGAGGAAUCUCAAUGGUAUUGAAUUUUC